UGGGGAAUUUUGGACAAUGGGCGCAAGCCUGAUCCAGCCAUUCCGCGUGAGUGAAGAAGGCCUUCGGGUUGUAAAGCUCUUUCGCAAGGGAAGAAACGAUAGUGACGAAUAAUCACUGUUAAUGACGGUACCUUGAUAAGAAGCACCGGCUAACUACGUGCCAGCAGCCGCGGUAAUACGUAGGGUGCGAGCGUUAAUCGGAAUUACUGGGCGUAAAGCGUGCGCAGGCGGUUCGACAAGUCAGAUGUGAAAUCCCCGGGCUCAACCUGGGAACUGCGUUUGAAACUAUCGAGCUAGAAUAGGUCAGAGGGGGGUAGAAUUCCACGUGUAGCAGUGAAAUGCGUAGAGAUGUGGAGGAAUAUCAAUGGCGAAGGCAGCCCCCUGGGAUCAUAUUGACGCUCAUGCACGAAAGCGUGGGGAGCAAACA
rnacentral:rRNA from 1 species